rnacentral:rRNA from 1 species
ACUCCUACGGGAGGCAGCAGUGGGAAUAUUGCACAAUGGGAAGCCAUCGAUGCAGCCAUGCCGCGCUGUGUGAAGAAGGCCAAUUCGGGCUUGGUAAGACACUUUCAGCGAGGAGGAAAGGGUGUGUGCUAAUACCAUACAUCUGUGACGUUACCUACAGAAGAAGCACCGGCUAACUCCGUGCCAGCAGCCGCGGUAAUACGGAGGGUGCGAGCGUUAAUCGGAAUUACUGGGCGUAAAGCGCAUGCAGGCGGCCUGUUAAGUCAGAUGUGAAAG